CCACACUUGACCAAAAUUCAAUUUUUGGACUCCUUUCAUCGACCAACACCACUCUGGCAUUUCUCUCAGCGCUCUCAUUCUCUCUCUCUCUCAGCCCGCUCAAAAUUUUUGCCCAAAACUUAAAUUUCCCACCCAUCGUUUUAAUUUUGAUCUCUCACUCUUUAACGGAUGUCUCUCUCUCUCUCUCUCUCUCUCUCUCUCUCUCUCUCUCGGGUUUCUUUCAGAUCUGAGAUGAACCCAAAACCCUCAAACUCUCGCUGCUUCAAUGUUUGUUUCAGAGCUGGGGUGUAUUGAAUUUCAAAGCCAAAAAUGGGAAGAGAGGCUCCAUAGCAAACGUCGCAGCAGCAAGUGUCGUUCACGGUGGAGCAAUUGGUCGCGGUCAAUCGCUAGAACCCUGAUAUCCUCCCCGAUUUCGAAAGCUACGUCAACGGGCAAGUCUUGUUUCUUUUUUAUUCGAUUCGUUUUAAUUGAUUGAAUUUGUGGAUGAUUGAUUGAAUUAGAGUGAAUUCUUUUCUGGAUUUUUAGGUUUCGUCAUAGACCUUUUUCGUCUCUAUUGGAAUAUUUUUGGACUGUUGGUUUCCCCAGGAUCUCUAUAUAUACACACAUAACAUCAGUUUUAAUGGGUUUUCAAUCUUUAUAUGUGGGUGUUGAUUAUUUCAGGAAUUGAAGUGAUAUGGUUUUACUACGAUCUCAUCUUGGAAUGUACUCAGAGAAAGAAUUCUGUGGUAACUGGGAGUGAAGCUGUAGAUGAGAUAUGCAAGUUACCCUCGAAAGGGUAAGAAUUCUGUUAAUUAUGUACAGCAAAGUUUCUUCUGAAUACUAGAUUUUGUAUGACUGAAUGCGUUGAGCUUUUGGUGCAUUAUGGACCUAACUAUCAAGAUUUGUCUAAUACUAAAUGGACUUCACAAUUAAUUGCAUAUUAUAUUGUCAACAUUAACAAACAACAAGACCUGAUCAAUCUUUUGGGAGCUACCUAUGCUGUUGUUCUUUUCCUUGCAGCUAGCAAUGCCUCUGCUGUGCAAUUUGUUGUGGCGGUUCAGUAGCAUGAAUGUACUCAGAGUUUCCUUACGCAUUUGCUCGGGUGGCUAUUGAAUUUUAAGAACAAGGCAUUGUUAGAGAGGAAAAGGGAGCUGCUUGUCAUAGAGGAAAAACGAGCACUCCAUGCAGUGAAGGCUUUCCCCAAAGAUGACCCAUCUAAGCCCUGGAAGCUGACUGCUUCCCAUAUAUGGAACUAUUGUUACAUUUAUACAAGUCCAAAUGUUGUUCAUCGUAGUUUUAUAGCUUUCUUUCGAUGCUAUUGCAUCGCCUCAUGUACUCCUUAAUUUCAUUUAAUAAAGAUUGUUGUU